rnacentral:tRNA from 1 species
UCCCUGGUGGCUCAGAUGGUAAAGAAUCUGCCUGCAAUGCAGAAGACCCAGGUUGAAUCCCUGACUCAGGAA